UACGGAGGAUGCAAGCGCUAUCCGGAAUGAUUGGGCGUAAAGCGUCCGCAGGUGGCUGUGUAAGUCUGCUGUUAAAGAGUGAGGCUCAACCUCAUAAAAGCAGUGGAAACUACACAGCUAGAGUGCGUUCGGGGCAGAGGGAAUUCCUGGUGUAGCGGUGAAAUGCGUAGAGAUCAGGAAGAACACCAGUGGCGAAGGCGCUCUGCUAGGCCGUAACUGACACUGAGGGACGAAAGCUAGGGGAGCGAAUGGG
rnacentral:rRNA from 1 species